rnacentral:rRNA from 1 species
CAGUAGCCGCGGUAAUACGAAGGGUGCAAGCGUUAAUCGGAAUUACUGGGCGUAAAGCGUGCGUAGGCGGUGAGUUAAGUCUGCUGUGAAAUCCCCGGGCUCAACCUGGGAAUGGCAGUGGAUACUGGCUCGCUAGAGUGUGUCAGAGGAUGGUGGAAUUCCCGGUGUAGCAAUGAAAUGCGUAGAGAUCGGGAGGAACAUCAGUGGCGAAGGCGGCCAUCUGGGACAACACUGACGCUGAGGCACGAAAGCGUGGGGAGCAAACAGGAUUAGAUACCCGCGUAGUCCCUGUCUCUUAUAC